rnacentral:rRNA from 2 species
UGUGACUGCGUACCUUUUGUAUAAUGGGUCAGCGACUUAUAUUCUGUAGCAAGGUUAACCGAAUAGGGGAGCCGGAGGGAAACCGAGUCUUAACCGGGCGUUAAGUUGCAGGGUAUAGACCCGAAACCCGGUGAUCUAGCCAUGGGCAGGUUGAAGGUUGGGUAACACUAACUGGAGGACCGAACCGACUAAUGUUGAAAAAUUAGCGGAUGACCUGUGGCUGGGGGUGAAAGGCCAAUCAAACCGGGAGAUAGCUGGUUCUCCCCGAAAGCUAUUUAGGUAGCGCCUCGUGAAUUCAUCUCCGGGGGUAGAGCACUGUUUCGGCUAGGGGGCCAUCCCGGCUUACCAACCCGAUGCAAACUGCGAAUACCGGAGAAUGUUAUCACGGGAGACACACGGCGGGUGCUAACGUCCGUCGUGAAGAGGGAAACAACCCAGACCGCCAGCUAAGGUCCCAAAGUCAUGGUUAAGUGGGAAACGAUGUGGGAAGGCCCAGACAGCCAGGAUGUUGGCUUAGAAGCAGCCAUCAUUUAAAGAAAGCGUAAUAGCUCACUGGUCGAGUCGGCCUGCGCGGAAGAUGUAACGGGGCUAAACCAUG